rnacentral:lncRNA from 1 species
GUUGUAGAGAAGCAUUGUUAGCUGUACAUGUCUGCCUGGCAUGGUUCAUCUGACCUUGACCUCAUUUUCAAGGUUCAUUGGUCUAUGUUUAGUUAUCUUGGUUAAUGUUCUGUUUGUGUGAUAGUUGUAAUAAAGCUUAGCUUUAUACUUAGGACUAUCAACAUAAUAUCAAUGAUUAGUAAAGAAGGCGAGACAUUUCAGCGUGUGCACUCUUGUUUAUAUUUAAGCUUGCAUUGUAGCGUCUUUAAUGACUUUAUCUUUCACAUAAACUAAUUGAAUCGACUAAAGUAGAAACUUUUAAAAAGUGUUUAAAAACGUCAAAAAUCUUUCAUCAGAUGAACCUAAAAUUUGAGGCCAAAAUAGACCCUUACCUUUCUCCUUUCUUACCAGUAUUAUUAUUAUACGACCGCAAAAAUUUUAUUUUUUUGGUCGUAUAUUGCUAUCACGUUGGCGUCGUCGUCGUCGUCCGAAUACUUUUAGUUUUCGCACUCUAACUUUAGUAAAAGUGAAUAGAAAUCAAUGAAAUUUUAACACAAGGUUUAUGACCACAAAAGGAAGGUUGGGAUUUGAUUUUGGGAGUUUUGGUCCAACAUUUUAGGAAUUAGGGGCCAAAAAGGGCCCAAAUAAGCAUUUUCUUGGUUUUCGCACUAUAACUUUAGUUUAAGUGAAUAGAAAUCUAUGAAAUUUUGACACAAGGUUUAUGACCACAAAAGGAAGGUUGGGAUUGAUUUUGGGAGUUUUGGUUCCAACAGCUUAGGAAUUAAGGGCCAAAAAAGGGCCCA